rnacentral:rRNA from 1 species
AGGGUUUGAUCCUGGCUCAGAUUGAACGCUGGCGGUAUGCUUAACACAUGCAAGUCGAACGGAAACGAUGGUAGCUUGCUACCAGGCGUCGAGUGGCGGACGGGUGAGUAACGCGUAGGAAUCUACCUGAUAGUGGGGGAUAGCCCAGAGAAAUCUGGAUUAAUACCGCAUAAUCUCUAUGGAGUAAAGUGGGGGAUCUUCGGACCGCACGCUAUCAGAUGAGCCUGCGUAAGAUUAGCUAGUUGGUGAGGUAAAAGCUCACCAAGGCGACGAUCUUUAGCUGGUCUGAGAGGAUGAUCAGCCACACUGGGACUGAGACACGGCCCAGACUCCUACGGGAGGCAGCAGUGGGGAAUAUUGGACAAUGGGCGCAAGCCUGAUCCAGCAAUACCGCGUGUGUGAAGAAGGCCUGAGGGUUGUUAAGCACUUUCAAUUGUGAAGAAAAGCUUAGUGUUAAUAGCACUAAGCCUUGACGUAACU